rnacentral:lncRNA from 1 species
GUCGGGUCUUUUAUCUAUGAUGAGUUUAUUUAUAGAUGACUAUGUGAUAUAUGCUUUGCUAAUUGUUGCAGGCCGUAUGGUGACCUAUAGACAUUUACUCACUUACAUGUAUGGAGAGUUACAAAUAUAUCUCAUUGGCAACCAUGACACAUCUUCUUUUUAUUAUUAUAAACGUUAAAAAUAACUUAUUAAAAGUACGAG